CCAUUUAUAAAAGUACUACGUCAGAUAGAACAAACAUAAUAUAUUCAUACGAAAUAGAAUCAUAAACUCUAAACCUAACCUGCGCACCUAAAUACUAAACCAUAAACUCGAGUCUCUAAACCCAAACCCAAAUGUUAAAUUUAAUUUAAAGUUAUAAUAUUUCAAAGAAAACAACAAAAAAUAAUAAAUAUAUAAAUUUUGAACUAUUAUUCUAUACUAUCUAACAUGGAAUGAAUACUACUCUUGUAAUUCAACCCCAACCCACUUCCAACCCUAAACCCAAAACACUU
rnacentral:lncRNA from 1 species